AGAAUCAACGCUGGCGGCGUGCCUAACACAUGCAAGUCGCACGAGAAAGUGGAGCAAUCCAUGAGUACAGUGGCGCACGGGUGAGUAACACGUGAAUCAUCUACCUUCGAGUGGGAAUAACUGAGAGAAAUCUUAGCUAAUACCGCAUAAUAUCUACGGAUCAAAGCAGCAAUGCGCUUGAAGAGGAGUUCGCGGCAGAUUAGUUAGUUGGCGGGGUAAUGGCCCACCAAGACGAUGAUCUGUA
rnacentral:rRNA from 1 species